GAUGAAUGCUGGCGGCGUGCCUAACACAUGCAAGUCGAGCGGCAGCGCGAGUAGUUUACUACUUGGCGGCGAGCGGCGGACGGCUGAGUAACGCGUGGGAAUAUGCCCCAAAGUGAGGAAUAACUGCCCGAAAGGGUAGCUAAUGCCGCAUAUGAUCUUCGGAUUAAAGGAUUUAUCCGCUUUGGGAGUAGCCUGCGUACGAUUAGGUAGUUGGUAGGGUAAUGGCCUACCAAGCCGACGAUCGUUAGCUGGUCUGAGAGGAUGACCAGCCAGACUGGAACUGAGACACGGUCCAGACUCCUACGGGAGGCAGCAGUGAGGAAUCUUCCACAAUGGGCGAAAGCCUGAUGGAGCAACGCCGCGUGCAGGAUGAAGGCCUUCGGGUUGUAAACUGCUUUUAUAAGUGAAGAAUAUGACGGUAACUUAUGAAUAAGCACCGGCUAACUACGUGCCAGCCGCCGCAGUAA
rnacentral:rRNA from 1 species